AUACUUACCUGACGCGAGAGGCACCUUGAUCAACUAGGAGGUCCUCUCAGGAUGAGGCCCUUUCAUUGCACUUCGACUGGGUUGACUCCUGCGAUUACCCCUACUGUGGGUAACUCGAGCGUAUAAUUUCUGGUAGUGGGGACCUGCGUUCGCGCUCGUCCCCU
rnacentral:snRNA from 1 species